rnacentral:rRNA from 1 species
UACGUAGGGACCAAGCGUUGUCCGGAAUCAUUUGGGCGUAAAAGAGCGUGUAGGCGGCUUGUUAAGUCUUGUGUGAAAUCUCGGGGCUCAACCCCGAGCGGUCAUGAAGAAACUGGCAGGCUAGAGUGCGGGGAGAGGAGAGUGGAAUUCCUGGUGUAGCGGUGAAAUGCGCAGAUAUCAGGAAGAACACCCGUGGCGAAGGCGCUCUCUGGAACGCAACUGACGCUGAGACGCGAAAGCGUGGGGAGCAAACAGG